UGGCCAUGAUGAAACACCAGUUCUAUAGUACGAUCACUGAAGUUAAGCUACAUUGGACCAGGUCAGUACCUAGAUGGGUGACCACUAGGGAAUACAUGUGUUGUAA